rnacentral:tRNA from 1 species
GGGCCCUUAGCUCACUUGGUAGAGCGCCUGCCUCGCACGCAGGAGGCCGCCGGUUCGAUCCCGGCAGGGUCCA